UGGGGAAUAUUGCACAAUGGGCGAAAGCCUGAUGCAGCAACGCCGCGUGAGUGAUGAAGGUCUUCGGAUUGUAAAGCUCUGUCUUUUGGGACGAUAAUGACGGUACCAAAGGAGGAAGCCACGGCUAACUACGUGCCAGCAGCCGCGGUAAUACGUAGGUGGCGAGCGUUGUCCGGAUUUACUGGGCGUAAAGGGUGCGUAGGCGGAUGUUUAAGUGAGAUGUGAAAUACCCGGGCUUAACUUGGGUGCUGCAUUUCAAACUGGAUAUCUAGAGUGCAGGAGAGGAGAAUGGAAUUCCUAGUGUAGCGGUGAAAUGCGCAGAGAUUAGGAAGAACACCAGUGGCGAAGGCGAUUCUCUGGACUGUAACUGACGCUGAGGCACGAAAGCGUGGGUAGCAAACAGGAUUAGAUACCCUGGUAGUCCACGCCGUAAACGAUGAGUACUAGGUGUAGGAGGUAUCGACCCCUUCUGUGCCGCAGUAAACACAUUAAGUACUCCGCCUGGGAAGUACGAUCGCAAGAUUAAAACUCU
rnacentral:rRNA from 1 species